rnacentral:tRNA from 1 species
GUUAUAGUAGUUUAACUCAAAACCUUGGUCUUGUAAACCAAAUUUAGAUAUAAAAAAUCUCUAUAACU